rnacentral:tRNA from 1 species
GCCCCUGUAGCUCAGUUGGCCAGAGCUUCCGCCUUGUAAGCGGAGGGUCGCCGGUUCGAGUCCGGCCGGGGGCUCCA